CACACUCUACAAAUACAAACUGUGCGAUGCCUUUUAAAAGCAAUACAAAUACCCAUGGGCCUCAGGCCAUUUGAUUUCCACUUAUAAGCGUGACUCUGAAUUUCUUCUAAAGAUAACUGCUGUUUGCGGUUCUUUGUAGGAGAUUCGGUCGAGAUAACAUCGGGCAGGACGACAGUCUCAGAAUUCUUGGGAUAAUUUAACAAAUAAAAAAACUGCUCACAGUGGAUGAAAACUAGGUAACACAGUCUUGCUGGAAACCACCAAUCUCAAGUUUCACUUUUUUUUUAAGAAAACGAACCCGUCGUAUUUUUGGACUUUUCUCAGAUGUCAGAAGCCAAGACCAGUAAACUAGAAAUAAAAGAUCAAAAAGCGCCAAAUUUGUUUAAAAAGGAUGACGACUCUGCGGCUUUGUUAUCCAACACUUCAUUUUCUGAAUCCAUCAAACAACCUGAACUACCUCCAGAACAAAAGACUACUAAAGAUAAUACAUGUGUUAGUAGCAUACCUGAUUAUAAUGUUGGAAAAGGCAUCAGAAAAAUAUCAUCAGUUGAAUCCCAAGGUGAUGAGAAAUGGUCAGGAUCCACUUUAUCAUUGUGCUCUCCUGGCAGACAGAAAACCAAACUUUCUAGAACAAGAAAUACAUUAUCAUUUCAGCAGUCAGGCAAU